GGUUAAGCGACUAAGCGUACACGGUGGAUGCCCUGGCAGUCAGAGGCGAUGAAGGGCGUGCUAAUCUGCGAUAAGCGCCGGUAAGGUGAUAUGAACCGUUAUAACCGGCGAUACCCGAAUGGGGAAACCCAGUGUGACUCGUCACACUAUCAUUAACUGAAUCCAUAGGUUAAUGAGGCGAACCGGGGGAACUGAAACAUCUAAGUACCCCGAGGAAAAGAAAUCAACCGAGAUUCCCCCAGUAGCGGCGAGCGAACGGGGAGGAGCCCAGAGCCUGAAUCAGCAUGUGUGUUAGUGGAAGCGUCUGGAAAGGCGCGCGAUACAGGGUGACAGCCCCGUACACAAAAGCGCACAUGCUGUGAGCUCGAUGAGUAGGGCGGGACACGUGGUAUCCUGUCUGAAUAUGGGGGGACCAUCCUCCAAGGCUAAAUACUCCUGACUGACCGAUAGUGAACCAGUACCGUGAGGGAAAGGCGAAAAGAACCCCGGCGAGGGGAGUGAAAAAGAACCUGAAACCGUGUACGUACAAGCAGUGGGAGCCCCACCACCAAAGCAUUCUCUGGUGUUGAAGGCCCUGCAAAGCAGCAUCGCGGUGGCGGAGCGUCGUUUGCGACGCCCAACACACAAAACAAGCGGUGAGUGCUUUG
rnacentral:rRNA from 1 species